AGAGUUUGAUCCUGGCUCAGGACGAACGCUGGCGGCGUGCUUAACACAUGCAAGUCGAACGGGCACUUCGGUGCUAGUGGCGAACGGGUGAGUAAUGCGCAGGUAAUCUGCCGCGAAGUCGGGGACAACGUUCCGAAAGGGACGCUAAUACCGGAUGUUGUAAGAUUUUUGCAUGAAGGUCUUACCAAAGAUUUAUCGCUUUGCGAGGAGCCUGCGUCCGAUUAGGCAGUUGGCGGGGUAAAAGCCCACCAAACCGACGAUCGGUAGCCGGUCUGAGAGGAUGAACGGCCACAAUGGAACUGAGACACGGUCCAUACUCCUACGGGAGGCAGCAGUGGGGAAUAUUCCACAAUGGGCGAAAGCCUGAUGGAGCGACGCCGCGUGAGUGAAGAAGGGUUUCGGCUCGUAAAGCUCUUUUCUGGUAGACGAAUGACCGAUUAGAUUGGUAGGGACGGUAUACUGGGAAUAAGUCACGGCUAACUACGUGCCAGCAGCCGCGGUAAUACGUAGGUGGCAAGCGUUGUCCGGAAUUAUUGGGCGUAAAGGGAGCGCAGGCGGGAGAUCAAGUCCAAAUUCAAAGUUCGGGAGUAAUGCCCGUGAUGGUUUGGAAACUGGUUUUCUUGAGAGCAGGAGAGGCAAGCGGAAUUCCCGGUGUAGCGGUGAAAUGCGUAGAUAUCGGGAGGAACACCAGUGGCGAAGGCGGCUUGCUGGACUGUGUCUGACGCUGAGGCUCGAAAGCCAGGGUAGCGAACGGGAUUAGAUACCCCGGUAGUCCUGGCUGUAAACGAUGAGUGCUAGGUGUGGCAGGUAUCGACUCCUGCCGUGCCGGAGUAAACGCAAUAAGCACUCCGCCUGGGGAGUACGGUCGCAAGACUGAAACUCAAAGGAAUUGACGGGGGCCCGCACAAGCGGUGGAGUAUGUGGUUUAAUUCGACGCAACGCGAAGAACCUUACCAAGCCUUGACAUCUGAGGAACCUGGAUGAAAGUUCGGGGUGCCCUUCGGGGAAUCUCAAGACAGGUGGUGCAUGGUUGUCGUCAGCUCGUGUCGUGAGAUGUUGGGUUAAGUCCCGCAACGAGCGCAACCCCUGCGAUAUGUUACCAGCGCGUAAAGGUGGGAACUCAUAUCGGACAGCCCGGGAUAACCGGGAGGAAGGCGGGGAUGACGUCAAAUCAUCAUGCCCCUUAUGGCUUGGGCUACACACGUACUACAAUGGGCUGAACAGAAGGCGGCAAAACCGCGAGGUAGAGCGAAACCCAAAAAGCAGUCCACAGUUCGGAUUGCAGGCUGCAACCCGCCUGCAUGAAGUCGGAAUCGCUAGUAAUCGCAGGUCAGCAUACUGCGGUGAAUACGUUCCCGGGCCUUGUACACACCGCCCGUCACACCACGGAAGUCGUUCACACCCGAAGUCCGGAAACGGCCUAAGGCGGGGGCGAUGACUGGGGUGAAGUCGUAACAAGGUAGCCGUAUCGGAAGGUGCGGCUGGAUCACCUCCUU
rnacentral:rRNA from 1 species